AUGACAGAGACGAGGAGUGGAAGAGGGAUAUUAGGUGGAUGGCCUCAAGAUCCUAAGGAGCAGACCUGGAGCAAGCAACUUUCAGGUCCCAGGAUGGGCAGGAGCACACCAACCACCUGCGUGACAGAGAAACCAUACACAACUUUGGAGAAGCCCCCGGCACAUGGCUUCCUUACUCCCUGAGCUGCAAACAGGCUGGGAUUAGCAGAGACGAGAGGAGGAUUCAGGUUAGUGCAAGCACAGGGAGGAAGUACCCACCCCAAUCCCUUCUGAGAUGGCCCAAGCUGUGCCCUCAGUCCCCUGCCACAGUGCAUGGACAGGGAAGGAUACUGUAUCUGUGCACUUCAGCCUCUGAUAUUUACUCAACUCCUCUCCGUGACCCCAACACACACACCCUACUGUGUCCGGAAUUGGUGGAUUCUUGGUCUCACUGACUUCAAGAAUGAAGCCGCUGACCCUUGCGGUGAGUGUUACAGCUCUUAAGGUGGCGCGUCUGGAGUUUGUUCCUUCUGAUGUUCGAAUGUGUUCGGAGUUUCUUCCUUCUGGUGGGUUCGUGGUCUCGCUGGCUCGGGAGUGAAGCUGCAGACCUUCGCGGUGAGUGUUACAGCUCUUAAGGCGGCGCGUCUGGAGUUGUUCGUUCCUCCC
rnacentral:lncRNA from 1 species